GGCACUCUAGACGAACUGCCGUUGACAAACGGAGGAAGUGGGAUGACGUCAAAUCAUCAUGCCCCUUAUGUUCUGGGCUACACACGUGCUACAAUGGCCGGUACAGACGGACGCAAAGCCGCGAGGUGGAGCAAAUCCUAAAAAGCCGGUCUCAGUUCGGAUUGCAGGCUGCAAUUCGCCUGCAUGAAGUCGGAAUCGCUAGUAAUCGCAGGUCAGCAUACUGCGGUGAAUACCGGUUCCCGGGCCUU
rnacentral:rRNA from 1 species